UGAGUUUGAUGAUGGCUCUGAAUGAACGCUGUCCAAGUGCUUAACACAUGCUAAUCGAACGUACUCAAAAUGAGUAGAGUGGUGAACAGGUGAGUAUUUUAAUACAACAACCUUUUAGUAAGGCAUAAUACCUUAUAAAAUGAAAGAAAAAGUAAGUUUCGCUAAAAGAUGUUGUAUUAAUAACUGGAAGAGUAUUAGGAUUAAAUCCUAGCUCAAAUUCUGGUAGUCGAGACUGAGAGGUCGAUCGACCACAGUGGGUCUGAAAAAACCCCACGGCGCACAGCACAGCAGUGAGGAAUAUUGGUCAAUGGCCUAACGGCUGAACCAGCAACUUGGAAGAAUGAAAAACGGGGUCGUAUAAAAUUCUAGAUAAAAGAUGAUUAUGACAACUGUUUAUCUAUAAGUCUUGUCCAAAUAACGUGCCAGCAGACGCGGUAAUACGUUGAAGACUAGUGUUAUUCAUCUUUAUUGGGUUUAAAGGGUACCUAGACGGAAAUACUAAGCCAUAUAAGGAACUAGUAAUCUAGAGUCAUAUGUAAGAAGGUAGAAUUUACAGAGUAGAGUUAAUAUUUGUUUAUACUGUAAGGACUGGUUAAAGCGAAGGCAACCUUCUAUGUAAUAUACGUGCUUAAACUAAACAUAUUUAAAUAAUUAAGCCUAUAAUGACUGACGUUGAGGGACGAAGCCUAGGGUAGCGAUAAGGAUUAGAGACCCUAAUAGUCCUAGGAGAAAAUUAUGAAUGCCAUAUGCUAGAUGUUUUUAGCAUAUAAAUGAAAGUGUAAGCAUUCCACCUCAUGAGUAAAGCGGCAACGCUCAAAUUGAAAUCAUUAGACCGUUUCUGAAACCAGUAGUGAAGUAUGUUAUUUAAUUCGAUAAUCCGCGAAUAACCUUACCACAAUUUGAAUCAACCCGUGGGCCUUUGGCCUCUAUAAGGGUAGACAAGUGCUGCACGGCUGUCUUUAGCUAAUGUCGUGAGAUCUGGUUAAUUCCUUUAAUUAGCGCAAGCCCUUACUUUAUUUAUAAUUCACUUUUUAAAAGUGCCAAUAUAAAGUAGUUCGCCAAUAUAUCGGUUAGAUAAUAGGGAUUAAGACAAGUCAUCAUGGCCUUAAUAUUGUGGGCUAUAGACGUGCCACAUAUGCUUUUACAAAAGGAUGCAAAAUCGUGAGAUUUAGCUAAUCCUCAAAAAAGGACAUAACUAUUCGUGAAUUGUAGUCUGAAAUUCGACUACAUGAAUAAGAAAUUACUAGUAAUCGUGAAUCACCACGUCACGGUGAAUAU
rnacentral:rRNA from 1 species